UAAAAAGGCCCGUCUCCCUCAUGACGUUCUCUUGGAGUCGUUGCUAUCUCUUGACGAGAAACAUCUUCUCAUCAUGAGAGCAAAGUGGCGAAAGAAGCGUAUGCGCAGGCUGAAGCGUAAAAGGAGGAAGAUGAGGCAGAGGUCAAAGUAAACCGACCCCCAUCGCUGUAGCUGAGUGCUCUUUCAAAUCUCCUCUGCAAGAGUCUGCUGGAAGACACCCCUGAUCCCGGCCAAUCUUUUGAAAAAGGAAAUGGUUUUCCAUCGCUUGGUUCUGCAGCGCAUCUCUGGUCUUGAUUGACCUUGUGAACUGUUUUGGACAUUCCUCAGACUUUAUCAGCUCAGCCUUUUUGUUCAUGUCUACAAUAAAUUUUUGGUUUAAAAAAAAA